UACGUAGGGGGGCUAGCGUUGUCCGGAAUCAUUGGGCGUAAAGCGCGUGUAGGCGGUCCGGUAAGUCCGCUGUGAAAGUCGGGGGGCUCAACCCUCGGAUGCCGGUGGAUACUGUCGGGCUUGAGUACGGAAGAGGCGAGUGGAAUUCCUGGUGUAGCGGUGAAAUGCGCAGAUAUCAGGAGGAACACCAAUUGCGAAGGCAGCUCGCUGGGACGUUACUGACGCUGAGACGCGAAAGCGUGGGGAGCAAACAGG
rnacentral:rRNA from 1 species